UGUCAGGAACUGUUUACACUUCCCCA
rnacentral:piRNA from 1 species